rnacentral:rRNA from 1 species
CCGGCACGGGCGAGUAACACGUAUCCAACCUGCCGUCUACUCUUGGACAGCCUUCUGAAAGGAAGAUUAAUACAAGAUGGCAUCAUGAGUUCACAUGUUCACAUGAUUAAAGGUAUUCCGGUAGACGAUGGGGAUGCGUUCCAUUAGAUAGUAGGCGGGGUAACGGCCCACCUAGUCUUCGAUGGAUAGGGGUUCUGAGAGGAAGGUCCCCCACAUUGGAACUGAGACACGGUCCAA